AUUUUUUAAAAAAAAUUUAAACAAACGAAGAGAAACGAAGAAAGAAGAGAAGCAAAGGAGACUAGUAAUCAAAACUGUAAGACUUCUUGACUACUACCUUUGCCAAAGGAGCCUUCACCCAUCUCUGCUGAUUGGGGUAAUGAAAGUUGUAGCGAAACAUGUGGUGGACACCAAGCUGGCAGACUGUACUGGAGUUGCCAACCAUAACCAACCACGAGAGUGUCAUGGCCCCUUCAGAGGACUCCUUGAAAGAGGACUCAGGAGCAGCAGCGGCAGACCCAGAAGGAACAAGCAGAAUCCCCGAGGACCCAACUCAAGCUCAUCCCCAGCUGGAGAGUGUCCAAGACAUGGCUGAAGCCCCUCAAUCGGAUUCAGGGAAUGAACAAGAGGCUCCCCUCCCCCCUGCAGAGUGAAGACACCAGCGAGUAUUGCAACAACACCGUAGGUCUGGCCGUUUAAGACAGGCAAGCUCUUAGAAGCUGGGAGGCUGAUCACCUGCACCUGUCUUAGGGAGUGGGAUUUAAAAGGCAGUUUGUGACUGCAGCAGGCUGCUGCCUACACCAUCGGUCGUGACCUCCAUGCGAGACCCAGCUUCCAAAACCCAGACCCUUGGACUGAACCCUUGGCGCACUGAACCCAGCUUCUCUCCUUGACGAAAGCAUUUGGACACUGCUUUUGAGCCAGCAUCUAAAGGAUUCCCACUUGCACAUGAAUCUGCCUCAAUGCCAAGGUCAUAACCCAAGAUCCUCUGGCAGCAUCUGGCUUCAGAGGCUGGAAGAAAAGCAGCCAGCUGAAGGGCCUUCUCAGCUGUGGCACUCAAGCUAUACAAAGUUCACCCAACACAGAAUUUCAUGUUGACAGGUAAAGGCAUCUUGUAAGGAGACCUGGGUAAACAGAUUUGUUAAUAAAUCUGUUCUAUUCUGCUCUGCUGCUUUCAGUAAUAUAUGCUGAUUUGUAAUACACCCCAAGAGCUCUAGCAAUUAAAGGACAAGUUUAUAACUAUUU